CCUACGGGUGGCAGCAGUGGGGAAUAUUGCACAAUGGGGGAAACCCUGAUGCAGCGACGCCGCGUGAAGGAAGAAGUAUUUCGGUAUGUAAACUUCUAUCAGCAGGGAAGAAAAUGACGGUACCUGACUAAGAAUCCCCGGCUAACUACGUGCCAGCAGCCUCGGUAAUACGUAGGGGGCAAGCGUUAUCCGGAUUUACUGGGUGUUAUGGGGGCGUAGGCGGUUUAGCAAGUCAGAAGUGAAAGCCCGGGGAUCAACUCCGGGACUGCUUUUGAAACUGUUGAACUAGAUUGCAGGAGAGGUAAGGGGAAUUCCUAGUGUAGCGGUGAAAUGCGUAGAGAUUAGGAGGAACACCAGUGGCGAAGGCGGCCUGCUGGACUGCAACUGACGUUGAGGCCCGAAAGCGUGGGGAGCAAACAGGAUUAGAUACCCGAGUAGUC
rnacentral:rRNA from 1 species